rnacentral:rRNA from 1 species
AUUGAACGCUGGCGGCAGGCUUAACACAUGCAAGUCGAGCGGGGUGAUGGUGCUUGCACUAUCACUUAGCGGCGGACGGGUGAGUAAUGCUUAGGAAUCUGCCUAUUAGUGGGGGACAACAUCUCGAAAGGGAUGCUAAUACCGCAUACGUCCUACGGGAGAAAGCAGGGGAUCACUUGUGACCUUGCGCUAAUAGAUGAGCCUAAGUCGGAUUAGCUAGUUGGUGGGGUAAAGGCCUACCAAGGCGACGAUCUGUAGCGGGUCUGAGAGGAUGAUACGCCACACUGGGACUGAGGCACGGCCCAGAAUCCUACGGGAGGCAGCAGUGGGGAAUAUUGGACAAUGGGGGGAACCCUGAUCCAGCCAUGCCGCGUGUGUGAAGAAGGCCUUAUGGUUGUAAAGCACUUUAAGCGAGGAGGAGGCUCUUUUGGUUAAUACCCAAGAUGAGUGGACGUUACUCGCAGAAUAAGCACCGGCUAACUCUGUGCCAGCAGCCGCGGUAA